rnacentral:rRNA from 1 species
CACGUAGGGGGCGAGCGUUGUCCGGAUUUAUUGGGCGUAAAGAGCUCGUAGGCGGCUCGGUAAGUCAGGUGUGAAAACUCUAGGCUCAACCUAGAGACGCCACCUGAUACUGCCGUGGCUAGAGUCCGGUAGGGGAGCAUGGAAUUCCUGGUGUAGCGGUGAAAUGCGCAGAUAUCAGGAGGAACACCAGUGGCGAAGGCGGUGCUCUGGGCCGGAACUGACGCUGAGGAGCGAAAGCGUGGGGAGCAAACAGG